GACGAACGCUGGCGGCGUGCUUAACACAUGCAAGUCGAACGGAAAGGCCCUGCUUGCCGGGUGCUCGAGUGGCGAACGGGUGAGUAACACGUGGGUGAUCUGCCCCUUACUUUGGGAUAAGCCUGGGAAACUGGGUCUAAUACUGGAUAGGACCAUGCUGUAGGUGGUGUGGUGGAAAGAUUAGUUUCGGUAAGGGAUGAGCUCGCGGCCUAUCAGCUUGUUGGUGGGGUAAUGGCCUACCAAGGCGUCGACGGGUAGCCGGCCUGAGAGGGUGGACGGCCACAUGGGGACUGAGAUACGGCCCAGACUCCUACGGGAGGCAGCAGUGGGGAAUAGUGCACAAUGGGCGCAAGCCUGAUGCAGCGACGCCGCGUGGGGGAUGACGGCCUUCGGGUUGUAAACUCCUUUCAGCCAUGACGAAGCCCUUGUGGUGACGGUAGUGGUAGAAGAAGCACCGGCUAACUACGUG
rnacentral:rRNA from 1 species